GAUGAACGCUAGCUACAGGCUUAACACAUGCAAGUCGAGGGCAGCACUAGGUAGCAAUACUGAGGUGGCGACCGGCGCACGGGUGCGUAACGCGUAUCCAACCUUCCCGAUACUCAGGGAUAGCCUUCCGAAAGGGAGAUUAAUACCUGAUGGUGUUUCAAUUCCGCAUGUUAUUGAAACUAAAGAUUUAUCGGUAUCGGAUGGGGAUGCGUGACAUUAGAUAGUAGGCGGGGUAACGGCCCACCUAGUCUACGAUGUCUAGGGGUUCUGAGAGGAAGGUCCCCCACACUGGAACUGAGAUACGGCCCAGACUCCUACGGGAGGCAGCAGUGGGGAAUAUUGGGCAAUGGGGGCAACCCUGACCCAGCAACGCCGCGUGAAGGAAGAAGGCUUUCGGGUUGUAAACUUCUUUUACCAGGGACGAAGACGUGACGGUACCUGGAGAAAAAGCCACGGCUAACUACGUG
rnacentral:rRNA from 1 species